rnacentral:rRNA from 1 species
GACGAACGCUGGCGGCGUGCUUAACACAUGCAAGUCGAACGAUGAAGCCUAGCUUGCUAGGUGGAUUAGUGGCGAACGGGUGAGUAAUACGUGAGUGACCUACCUUUGACUCUGGGAUAAGCCUGGGAAACUGGGUCUAAUACCGGAUACGACCAAUCUCCGCAUGGGGUGUUGGUGGAAAGCGUUAUGGAGUGGUUUUAGAUGGGCUCACGGCCUAUCAGCUUGUUGGUGAGGUAAUGGCUUACCAAGGCGACGACGGGUAGCCGGCCUGAGAGGGUGACCGGCCACACUGGGACUGAGACACGGCCCAGACUCCUACGGGAGGCAGCAGUGGGGAAUAUUGCACAAUGGGCGCAAGCCUGAUGCAGCGACGCCGCGUGAGGGAUGACGGCCUUUCGGGUUGUAAACCUCUGUUAGCAUCGAAGAAGCGAAAGUGAUCGUAGGUGC